UGCAGCCUUGUCAAAUUCAGUAAGCCCUCCCUGGUGGACUCUACUGGCCAAAAUGGCUGCUACAGUGACAUGGUAGUUCAUGGGCCCCACAUCUUAAUCAUGUGGAUUCUGGGGAUAAGUUAGUGCUACGGACAGUU
ensembl:snoRNA